UUGGCUCACAACACUCGUAGCUCACUUUCUCACUUUCCGAACCCUAGACAGAAACCGUAGGGUACUCACAGAAAACCCUACGCCCACUUUCUUUCUUUUCUUUUCUCUCGAAAGUUUUUUGAAUUUUGAUCUCACGCACAAGGUCUUCUCACGCCACUCUUUCUUUCUCUGAUAAGAUCUUAUGCACGCCCCACCUUCUCAUUUUUUUAAAAAUAGUGCAAGAUGCAUUUUUUCAGCAUUUUCACCGCAUGAGAGGAUAAAGGUAGGUGGUUGCUCACUUGAAUUCAAAUCGAAUUUGAAUUC
rnacentral:lncRNA from 1 species